GGGGUUGUGGCUCAAUGGUAGAGCUCUCGCCUAGCAUGUGCUAGGCCCUGGGUUUGAUCCUCAGUACCCCA
rfam:Ictidomys tridecemlineatus contig050293, whole genome shotgun sequence.